GGCUAGGGGUCUAAUCAGAACUGUAGCCAGCCACCAGCCUUGUGCCACAGCCACAGCAACACUGGAUCCCAACCCUGUCUGCAACCUACACCACAGGUCAUGGUAAUGCUGGAUCCUUAACCCACUGAGGGAAGCCAGGGAUCGAACCCACCACCUCAUGGUUCCUAGUUUGAUUGGUUAACCAUUGAGCCAUGACGGGAACUCCUGCUAUCGAAUUCUUAACCCACUGUGCAACAUUCGGAACUCCUUACUCCUUUUGCAUCUUCGUUUUUGGCAUCAGAGGUAGUUCAGAAGAAAGGGACUUGUAUUUCAAUCUUAUUUAAGUUACAUUUGAGGUUAUGUGACAUAACCUCAGUGUCACAUCACACUAAUUUCUAUGGACAGUUGUCUGGGCUAGCUGUAUUUUUGUUAUUUUUGUCUAAUUCUUUUCUACUGUGAAAUGAAUAUAAGUGCUGACUUUAGUUACAAUUUUAUGUAAGUUUAGUGUUGUGGCUAAAAUAAUUUCCCAGUUUCUGGCUUAGAUCUCAACUUGUGUAUUUAUUUUUGUGGAUAAUAGUACUAAGGCUGUUCUUCAUGUCUAAAUAAUUGAUGAUGCAUAUAAACUAUUACCUGUCUAUGGUAAUGAGAUAUAUUUGAUAGGCUUUGUCGAAAAGGCUUUUACUUUUUGGAAAAGAGUCAACUUAAGGCUCUGUGGAUGUUUUAAAUAGCCCCACUCAAAUUCACCAAAAUGAACAGAUCAGUGUUUAUGCAUUUCUGUCCCUUUUCUCUUUCUGAGUUACUAAACCAUGGGUAUUUCACUCAUGUUUCUUAACGAAUUUAUUUUUUAAUUUUCAUAUGACAGAUCAAAUGUGAUUUGAUAUUUAAGUUGGGAAGAAGUUGGCUUAGUGGAAGUAUUGAGUUAAUUUUUUUAUCCUUUAAAAAGCCACGCAACCUUCCUGUUUUCCAGUUUGUAAAGUAAUCUUGGACUAAAUCAUUGGUAACCUUCAAUAACAGCUCUAAAACUAGCAAUAGCCUUCAAGUAGAAUGGAUUUGUAUUUGGUUUUUAAUUUCUCCAAAUAUGAGUGGGGAAGUGGUAAGUUUAUGCUUAAUGGUAGCUAGCUGAGGCAUGUGCAUUUUUCUCUAAACAAAAACAUUUUGAACUGUGCCUUUCCAUACUGUGAUUUUCUACUGCUAUUCUGAAAAAAAGGGAACAAUAUAGAAAGCAAAACCAAAUUAAACAAACUCCCCCCACUCCCUAUCCCUAUUUAAUGUAUCUAUUAAUACUUAGUAAUGCUUUUCAUUACCCCUUAAAAAAUUUGGCCAUACUCUCAGUUUAGGUUUAAAACCUUACUAUAUAACUACAUAAUUCUGUAGGUUUAAAAAUGCCAUUCUACAAGAACAAUAUUGUAAUAGUUUGAACUUUGGAAGUGAGUUAUUUGAUUAGGUCGGGUAGUCAGGAGUUGAAUUUUGGUUUAUUAUUGUGUAUGUAAUUGUUUCAGUUUUUUUAAGUGAACAUUUAUAUAUUGUAGACUAAAAACACUUGGAUGAUACUUAUCUCAGCAAAUACUUACUGUUUUGUGAUAUUUUUCACAGAUUGUGGCAAAGAGAGAGUAAGUAAUUUGAAGUCUCUAAAUAUUCCACACUCAACUCCAGAGUAUUCAUAGACUUUGGUUCUGUGUACAACCAGUAUUCUCCCUGCAUAUUCUUUACCAUUUAGAAAAAUUAAAUUGUUAAAAAACGAAUCCGACUAGGAACCAUGAGGUUGCAUGUUCGAUCCCUGGCCUCACUCACUGGGUUGGGAAUCUGGCGUUGCCAUGAGCUAUGGAGUAGGCUGCAGAUGUGGCUCAGACCUGAUGUUGCUGUGGCUGUGGUGUAGGCAGGCAGCUGUAGCUCCGAUUCAACCCCUGGAAACCUCCCUAUGU
rnacentral:lncRNA from 1 species